CUCAGGAUGAACGCUGGCGGCGUGCCUAACACAUGCAAGUCGAGCGGAGAUACAUGUCUAAGAGAUUCGGUCGAAUUAAUUGUAUCUUAGCGGCGGAUGGGUGUGGAACGCGUGGAGAACCUGCCCUUCACAGGGGGAUAACAGCUGGAAACGGCUGUUAAUACCGCAUAUGCUCACAGGAUCGCAUGGUCCAGGGAGGAAAGCCGAGACGGUGAAGGAUGGCUCCGCGUCGGAUUAGCCAGUUGGCGGGUAACGGCCCACCAAAGCGAUGAUCCGUAGCCGGCCUGAGAGGGCGACCGGCCACAUUGGGACUGAGACACGGCCCAAACUCCUACGGGAGGCAGCAGUGGGGGAUAUUGCACAAUGGGGGAAACCCUGAUGCAAGCGACGCCGCGUGAAGGAGGAAGUGCUUCGGCAUGUAAACUUCUAUCAGCAGGGAAGAAGAUGACGGUACCUGACUAAGAAGCCCCGGCUAACUACGUGCCAGCCGCGGC
rnacentral:rRNA from 1 species